GAUAAACGCUGGCGGCGUGCCUAAUACAUGCAAGUCGAGCGAACGGACGAGAAGCUUGCUUCUCUGAUGUUAGCGGCGGACGGGUGAGUAACACGUGGAUAACCUACCUAUAAGACUGGGAUAACUUCGGGAAACCGGAGCUAAUACCGGAUAAUAUUUUGAACCGCAUGGUUCAAAAGUGAAAGACGGUCUUGCUGUCACUUAUAGAUGGAUCCGCGCUGCAUUAGCUAGUUGGUAAGGUAACGGCUUACCAAGGCAACGAUGCAUAGCCGACCUGAGAGGGUGAUCGGCCACACUGGAACUGAGACACGGUCCAGACUCCUACGGGAGGCAGCAGUAGGGAAUCUUCCGCAAUGGGCGAAAGCCUGACGGAGCAACGCCGCGUGAGUGAUGAAGGUCUUCGGAUCGUAAAACUCUGUUAUUAGGGAAGAACAUAUGUGUAAGUAACUGUGCACAUCUUGACGGUACCUAAUCAGAAAGCCACGGCUAACUACGUGCCAGCAGCCGCGGUAAUACGUAGGUGGCAAGCGUUAUCCGGAAUUAUUGGGCGUAAAGCGCGCGUAGGCGGUUUUUUAAGUCUGAUGUGAAAGCCCACGGCUCAACCGUGGAGGGUCAUUGGAAACUGGAAAACUUGAGUGCAGAAGAGGAAAGUGGAAUUCCAUGUGUAGCGGUGAAAUGCGCAGAGAUAUGGAGGAACACCAGUGGCGAAGGCGACUUUCUGGUCUGUAACUGACGCUGAUGUGCGAAAGCGUGGGGAUCAAACAGGAUUAGAUACCCUGGUAGUCCACGCCGUAAACGAUGAGUGCUAAGUGUUAGGGGGUUUCCGCCCCUUAGUGCUGCAGCUAACGCAUUAAGCACUCCGCCUGGGGAGUACGACCGCAAGGUUGAAACUCAAAGGAAUUGACGGGGACCCGCACAAGCGGUGGAGCAUGUGGUUUAAUUCGAAGCAACGCGAAGAACCUUACCAAAUCCUGACAUCCUUUGACAACUCUAGAGAUAGAGCCUUCCCCUUCGGGGGACAAAGUGACAGGUGGUGCAUGGUUGUCGUCAGCUCGUGUCGUGAGAUGUUGGGUUAAGUCCCGCAACGAGCGCAACCCUUAAGCUUAGUUGCCAUCAUUAAGUUGGGCACUCUAAGUUGACUGCCGGUGACAAACCGGAGGAAGGUGGGGAUGACGUCAAAUCAUCAUGCCCCUUAUGAUUUGGGCUACACACGUGCUACAAUGGACAAUACAAAGGGCAGCGAAACCGCGAGGUCAAGCAAAUCCCAUAAAGUUGUUCUCAGUUCGGAUUGUAGUCUGCAACUCGACUACAUGAAGCUGGAAUCGCUAGUAAUCGUAGAUCAGCAUGCUACGGUGAAUACGUUCCCGGGUCU
rnacentral:rRNA from 1 species